GAUGAACGCUGGCGGCGUGCCUAAUACAUGCAAGUCGAGCGAACGGACGAGAAGCUUGCUUCUCUGAUGUUAGCGGCGGACGGGUGAGUAACACGUGGAUAACCUACCUAUAAGACUGGGAUAACUUCGGGAAACCGUAGCUAAUACCGGAUAAUAUUUUAAACCGCAUGGUUCAAAAGUGAAAGACGGCCUUGCUGUCACUUAUAGAUGGAUCCGCGCUGCAUUAGCUAGUUGGUAAGGUAACGGCUUACCAAGGCAACGAUGCAUAGCCGACCUGAGAGGGUGAUCGGCCACACUGGAACUGAGACACGGUCCAGACUCCUACGGGAGGCAGCAGUAGGGAAUCUUCCGCAAUGGGCGAAAGCCUGACGGAGCAACGCCGCGUGAGUGAUGAAGGUCUUCGGAUCGUAAAACUCUGUUAUUAGGGAAGAACAUAUGUGUAAGUAACUGUGCACAUCUUGACGGUACCUAAUCAGAAAGCCACGGCUAACUACGUG
rnacentral:rRNA from 1 species